rnacentral:rRNA from 1 species
UACGUAGGGUGCGAGCGUUAAUCGGAAUUACUGGGCGUAAAGGGCGCGUAGGCGGCGCAACAAGUCACUUGUGAAAUCCCCGGGCUUAACCUGGGAAUGGCGUUUGAAACUACGGAGCUGGAGUGUGGCAGAGGGAGGUAGAAUUCCACGUGUAGCGGUGAAAUGCGUAGAUAUGUGGAGGAAUACCGAUGGCGAAGGCAGCCUCCUGGGCCAACACUGACGCUCAUGCACGAAAGCGUGGGGAGCAAACAGG